GAUGAACGCUAGCGGCAGGCUUAAUACAUGCAAGUCGUGGGGCAGCAGGACUGUAGCAAUACAGUUGCUGGCGACCGGCAAACGGGUGCGGAACACGUACGCAACUUACCCUGAACUGGGGGAUAGCCCGGGGAAACCCGGAUUAAUACCCCGUAAUAUAAUGGAGUGGCAUCACUUUAUUAUUAAAGCUCCGGCGGUUCGGGAUGGGCGUGCGGCUGAUUAGGUAGUUGGUUGAGGUAACGGCUCACCAAGCCUACGAUCAGUACCUGGUGUGAGAGCACGCCCAGUCACAACGGCACUGCGGCCCGGACCCGUCUCCUACGCGAGGGAGCAGUAACGAAUAUUAGGCACUGGAGGCUACUCUGACCCCGCCAUGCCGCGUAUAGGAUGAUGGCCCUCUGGGUUGUCUGCUUCUUUUGUAGGGGACGAAACCUGUGUAUUCUUCCGCACUUGACGGUACCCUAUGAGUAAGCCCCGGCUAACUCCGUG
rnacentral:rRNA from 1 species